AUAAAGGAUGGUGGGUUAGAGUCCCUCCAAUUGUUUGGGUUCGAGUCCUAAACUGGGUUAAAGGAACUACGGGUUUCUAGGUUAGAGUCCUAUCAGUAAAUAAGGAAGGUAUUUUCUUGAGUUUUGGAUUUCUAAAUCGAGGGAACUAAACCUUUAGCGAAUCCUAAAGACCUUUAUCGGAAAUAAAGGCCCCUCUUAGAGGAUUAAGCGGCAGAGCGACCAAAAAGCUGAUUUGUUGGAUUCUACGAAGACGUUUGCUGUCGAAAGAGGAAAUCCCACCCAAUUCAGGAAGAAUGGGUCUACAUGGCUCCAGAACACAAUCUCCUCCUCAGGGUGAAUUGUUUGACUAUAUGAUAAUGAAAUAUUGAAAAAAAAAGCAGGAGAAAACGAAUAAAGAAUAAAAAUACUGAACAUAAAUCUUUUGUGGAUAAAUUACAGGCCUUAAUAUGUUUGAAAAAAAAAAGUGUUUGUUCUUUUUGCGUAUUUGCAUAAACAAAUGAUUUCAUUCCCUAAAAGGAUCAAUCAAUUGAGGAACCUUUUCUUACUAAAAGCAGCUCAAAGAACUGUAAAAACAAUUAGCCCUCAGGUGUCAAGAAAUGGUGGCGUUGAGGUGGUGAGGCAGACGCUGUAGACCCAGGAUGCGAUAAAAAAUGAUUUUAAUAAUGAAUGUCCAGCAAACACAGUCCAACCAACGGGCAGCACGGCUGAGCGGAAGCCAGGGCUCAACGCCGGUAGCAACCGUUACACAAAUGGACGAGACGACAGACUGGGUACAAAGAUGACAGACUAGAAGUCAGAAUGAGACGAGGACCCGACAAACACACAGGUGACACUAAAUACACAGGAGGUAAUUAGGGAACGAGAAACACCUGGGAGUAAUCGAGGGGAGAACAGAACAACACAGAGACACAGAAAACUUGAAAUAAACACAGAAAAACACAGAUCAUGACAUCAGGAUUCUCUGACAAAACAUUCCACAAACGGGAGCCAUAAUCUGGAUGGAUAAUAAAUGACUAAAACUAUAUGAACUUGCAAAAGAUUAAAAUAAGAGUCAUAAAUACAUAUGUAUAGAAAAAACAAAGAAAACAACUCCCAGCCUCCCAAUAAAACAAGCCUAAUCAAUUUCUACUUGCUUCUUCUCUUUCCCUCUGUCUGAGCCUCACUGCAGUGCAUCUGACCUCUGACCUCAACUCCUCAAACAUGUCCUCCCAUGGACCAGAUGAAAGUGACCGAGAAGAUCCAGAGAAUCAAGAAGAUCAAGAAAACCUACAUCACCUCCAGGCACUUUAGUGUCUGUUGAUCCUAAUUUUUUUGACACUGGAGAACUGAUGAAACAUUUCCAUUCAGGGGACAACUGUCGGUCUCCUGGUGGACAUUUGGACUGAAUACUGUGUGCGACUGAGCUUUAACAACUUCCGCUGGUCUGCUGUCCUGAUACUGGACAGGUAUCAGGUCCAGUAAGAAAAGCUAAACAAAGCUUCAGAGCUGUGAGAGAAGAAGACUCUGAACUGUUUGAUGCUUGUUUCAUCUGUGGACAACAUGGACAUUGACUGGGGGACAAUCUGGACAACCCAAAGAUCCAAUGCCAGAACCAGUUGGACUGACUGGGAGCCAGAGGAGAGAGAUUUGGAGGAUUUCACUGCAGCGACACCAAGAGGGCAGCGAGAGGAGCGAAAAGAGAUGUUUAAGGUUUCAAAAGGCUGGACAGCUGUGAGAUGAAGAGGACAGCAGAAGUCCAAGAGCAAAUUUACCUCAAAACAAAAGUAAUGUUGAGAGAGGCAACGAAAGAGAGACUUAGGAAGUGUGUGUGAGGCUGUUCAACUCUGACACCAAAGAAGACGACUUUGGUGGUUUUAGUGUGCAGGAGUUAGACGAGGAGCACAAUCAAUUAUUUUUCCUUUUGCUUUAAGCAGCCAUGUUACAGCAAUAGUUAGGAAAAAGCAUUUACGGUAUAUAUUUGUAUGCUACCAGUACGUAUUUCAUUAAAAAUAUCUUUCUGUAUAAAUAUUAUGUUAAGCCAUACUUGUUUGUGGCUUAUGACAUGUAAUAGUCCAGAAAUUACAGUAUUCACUCAAAAAAUCACUCCAUUUGUCAGCUCAUUGCACAUGGAACAUUUCUCCAAAGUUCUUAUAUUC